GUGUCAGCAGCCGCGGUAAAACGUAGGAGGCGAGCGUUAUCCGGAUUUACUGGGCGUAAAGCGCGCGUAGGCGGUUGGUCAAGUCGGAUGUGAAAGCCCCUGGCUCAACUGGGGGAGGCCAUUCGAUACUGAUCGGCUUGAGGGUGAGAGAGGAAAGUGGAAUUCCCGGUGUAGCGGUGGAAUGCGUAGAGAUCGGGAGGAACACCAGUGGCGAAAGCGGCUUUCUGGCUCACCCCUGACGCUGAGUGCACGAAAGCGUGGGGAGCAAACGGGAUUAGAUACCCCCGUAGUCC
rnacentral:rRNA from 1 species